UACAGAGGUCCCAAGCGUUGUUCGGAUUCACUGGGCGUAAAGGGUGCGUAGGCGGUCGGAUAAGUCUGAUGUGAAAUCUUCGAGCUCAACUCGGAAACUGCAUCGGAAACUAUUCGGCUGGAGGAUUGGAGGGGAGACUGGAAUUCUCGGUGUAGCAGUGAAAUGCGCAGAUAUCAGGAGGAACACCAGUGGCGAAGGCGAGUCCCUGGACAGGUCCUGACGCUGAGGCACGAAAGCUAGGGGAGCAAACAGG
rnacentral:rRNA from 1 species